UACAGAGGUCUCAAGCGUUGUUCGGAUUCAUUGGGCGUAAAGGGUGUGUAGGUGGCGCUGUAAGUCGGGUGUGAAAUUUCGGAGCUUAACUCCGAAACUGCAUUCGAUACUGCGGUGCUUGAGGACUGGAGAGGAGACUGGAAUUCAUGGUGUAGCAGUGAAAUGCGUAGAGAUCAUGAGGAAGACCAGUGGCGAAGGCGGGGUCUCUGGACAGUUCCUGACACUGAGACACGAAGGCCAGGGGAGCAAACGGGG
rnacentral:rRNA from 1 species